rnacentral:rRNA from 1 species
CUACGGGCGGCUGCAGUGGGGAAUAUUGCGCAAUGGAGGAAACUCUGACGCAGCGACGCCGCGUGGGUGAUGACGGCCUUCGGGUUGUAAAGCCCUGUCAGCUGGGAAUAAUAAAUGAAGGUACCAGCAAAGGAAGCACCGGCUAACUCUGUGCCAGCAGCCGCGGUAAUACAGAGGGUGCAAGCGUUGUUCGGAAUCACUGGGCGUAAAGGGCGUGUAGGCGGUUUAGUAGGUCAGAUGUGAAAUCCCGGGGCCCAACCUCGGAAGUGCAUUUGAAACUACUAGACUUGAGUAUAUUAGAGGAUGGCGGAGUACCCAGUGUAGAGGUGAAAUUCGUAGAUAUUGGGUAGAACACCGGUGGCGAAGGCGGCCAUCUGGGAUAUAACUGACGCUGAGACGCGAAGGCGUGGGGAGCAAACAGGAUUAGAUACCCUCGUAGUC